GAAGCAUUCUGAUGCGUGGUA
rnacentral:siRNA from 1 species